CGGGGCGGCGUCAGGCGCGGCACCUGCGGCGGAGGACGCGGGGAGGACUGUCCAGGCGGGCAGACUCAUGUUUGACUGCUGGAGGUUUGUCCUGUGCAAGAAAACUGGACGCAACCAUCAUUCUUCCCGGAGAGGCUCCGAUGAGACCGAAAAAGAAGAAGGUGACCCUCAGAUCGAUGUACCUGACGUCCUCAGGCUUGUCAGAGACCCACCAGAGGGGUCACAUUCACCUGCAGUGGCCCAUCUGUGACCCUGGAAGGCAACAUCUUGUUACACUAAGUAGACCAUGAAGUGCACUUGAGAUGCAAGAUUAUGUUUCUUCGUGCUUCGAAGGACCCAGCAGCCAGAAUGAUUUCUCCGCGUCUCGUCUCUUCCUUCACUUAGCUCAGCAUGGCUGAAUCAUGCAUGUAGAAUAGUUUUCUGUCCUUCUCUUCUUAAAUAAACACACACACCAAGUCCUGUUGUGCCUUCUCAA